GCUCUCACACAUAUAAUCCAUCUCACCCCUUUUGUGCAUCACCGCGUGGGGACCCCUUUUGGCUAGUUCUGAGGGGGGUUUUCACGUUUUUACAAAGACACCCUUUUUAAUGCAAUGUGUAGAAUGUCUUACUUUUUGCGAUCAUACGCAAUCAAUACAACUUUCAACAACGGAUCUCUUGGCUCUCGCAUCGAUGAAGAACGCAGCGAAAUGCGAUACGUAAUGUGAAUUGCAGAAUUCAGUGAAUCAUCGAAUCUUUGAACGCACCUUGCGCCCCUUGGCAUUCCGAGGGGCACACCCGUUUGAGCGUCGUGACAUCCUCAAACCUUCUUGGUUUCUUGACCAGGAAGGCUUUGGACCUUGGAGGUUUUUUUGCUGGCUUUCCUUUGUUGGAGCCAGCUCCUCUGAAAUGAAUUAGUGGGGUCUGCUUUGCCGAUCCUUGACGUGAUAAGAUAUUUUCUACGUCUUGGGUUUGCACUCCUGCUUCUAACCGUCUCACAGAAGACAAACGGUCAAGUGAU
rnacentral:rRNA from 1 species